rnacentral:rRNA from 1 species
GUGGGGAAUAUUGCGCAAUGGGGGAAACCCUGACGCAGCGACGCCGCGUGGGUGAUGAAGGCCUUCGGGUCGUAAAGCCCUGUCGGAGGGGAAGAAGGACUCUCGUGCAAAUAGUUCGAGGGUUUGACGGUACCCUUAGAGGAAGCACCGGCUAACUCCGUGCCAGCAGCCGCGGUAAUACGGAGGGUGCAAGCGUUGCUCGGAAUUACUGGGCGUAAAGGGCGUGUAGGCGGUUUCGUAUGUCUGGCGUGAAAGCCCCGGGCUCACCUCGGGAAGUGCGUCGGAAACUGCGAGACUAGAGUCCCGGAGAGGGAGGUGGAAUUCCAGGUGUAGCGGUGAAAUGCGUAGAUAUCUGGAAGAACACCGGUGGCGAAGGCGGCCUCCUGGACGGUGACUGACGCUGAGACGCGAAAGCGUGGGGAGCAAACAGGAUUAGAAACCCCUGUAGUCC